GGGGGGGGGGGAGGGACAGCGCUUGGACGCGGUACGGCGUCAACCCCGGAGAGCAAUGAACCAGCAGCCUCUGGCCGCCGCUGAGCAGAGGGGUUGACAGAGGAAUAUUGUCCACAACAGCCUGCCCUUCUUUGAAUCAAACAACGGAAUCUUUGAGAUUAAUCUAAAUAGUGGAGAGUUGCGGCGGAAAGGAUUAAAAUUAAAUGAAAAA